CAAGUGAUGUACGCAUGGUGAGAUGUAGCAAGGUAUUACAACGGUCGUAUACCUUCAACUUUACCGCCGAAUAACCGUUUCCCAGAGUGCGUAGGGUAUGCAUAGUUUUAUCUCUAGCCUUUAAUGCACGAUAUGUCUAUAAACAAACUGGAAGUUUAUAAGCAAGAGGGACGUGAUGAUGUGCAUAGCGCAGACAUCAUCGUUGAUAUUCCACUUGUUUCACCAAACAACCCACAGUAUUGAAGAGCAACCUUCCCUAAGCCGUCAUUAUACGGUAUGUGAUCAGCAAUUGCCAGUUGAACAGCCAUAAAUGAACAGCAAUCGUUGGUAACCGGUGGAAGAAACCUUCACUUCAAAAAGUGGCGGCAACCUUUUCGAGCCUGUGCUGUAUUGCCAAAAUACUGCGUUCUUUUGAUUUGCCUUCGUCGUCCACAGAUGCAUCCUCGCAAACCUCAUGGACGGCUUCGAAAUCAUCACUCAGCUGACUGCAGCACUUCGGGAUGCGGCCACCCGCCAGGCCGUGGCCGUGGAAUAGCUGACCACCGAGGCCAGGCUGCACAGGGAGGCUGCCGACCGACAGGCUGCCUUGGAAGCCAUCCGGCAGCAACAGGGCCAGGCGUCGCAGGAGCUCCGCAGCGUGGGAACACUCUCGCAGGCCAUUGCUGCGACACUGCAGCAGCCGCACGAUAUUUUUAUUCGAUUUUUGUAAAUCUUUCUUUAAUCGACAGCAAAGGUUGUUGCAGCAGAUUUUUUUGAAAAUCUGCAGCAAUGUUCUUGCACUGCAUUUUUUUAUCUGCAUCAAAGGUCGUUGCCGUGUAUGGUUUUAAACAUGCAGCAAAUGUCAGUGUAGUGUAUUUUUUCUUAUCUGUAGCAAAGUAGUUGUGUAUAGAUUUAAAUCUGCAGCGAAGGUUUUAGUGUAUAUUUUUAAAUGUGCAGCAAAGGUUGUUGUGUAUAUGCUUAAACCUACAACGGAAGUUGCCUUUUUUGUAUACUUUCGGAAAACGUCGCAUGUUUUUCUCUAUUAGACACAUUUAUCCCAGGGAAACAAGAAACGUGAAAUAUCAUUAGAGGUACAAUACACCUUUGAAGAAACAUAUGUUCUUAUGAGUUCUACACUGCAAUAUCGCGACGAGUGUACAGCCAUUUACGGUGCUUGUAACAACAAACAUGCGAAAAUGUGUGUUUAUUGUUUGUUCUCUUAUGGUGUAUAGGAUAAAAUCAUGGUGUUUGUCUUCUUCGUUUUAUUUAUUUUUGACAAACACCGCAUUCCACAUGAGGACGUCUGAGAACUUGGACUGUGCACUAGUUUUUGUGUCGCUACUUCUGAAUUACUUGUGGGAGCUUGUUUUUGUGUAUUGCUAUGACGUUGUUGUGCUAUGUGUGUAUAUCGGUGCGGAGGAGAAGUAGGUGCCUCUUAAUGUCUCCAUACAUAUGUUAUAAAUUGACGCUCGUUUCUUGUUUUUUUACCUUAGAGUAAGGGCAACUUUCUUUUACUCAAGCAUAUUAUACAGGGUAGCUCCGAUACAAUUUCAGUUCUGAGACAGUGCUCAUGUCAUGCAAUUUUAUUUUGUAAGCAUGUUUCCGUGUUCCCACUUGCCCGCGUUGCAGUCCCCAUUCAAACAGCCUUUUUCGUACUACCCGCCAGUUUGUGGGGUCGUCACAUUGGCUCGAUGGCAAACUCGGAAACCGUGUACCAUUCACAGUUAAGCCACUGCUUGUGCAUUAGUGUGAGCCAACAUACUUCAUAGGAAAGAUAGCAAGUUAUUAUUGGGCGCUAAGACAAGGACAAGAAAGAAGCACAUGACAUAUAUGCACUUGUAUUGUGCUUCUUUUAUGUACGCCUUUCUUUCCCGUGCAUAAAUAAUAUGCGCAGUUCAUCAGGAUGGCAUUUUGCACCACAUUGCGCACCCAUGGAGUCAUUCAUUGAAAGAAGAAUCCGGUUUCGUUGAGAUGGGCAGCUAAUGUACAAGACGUUCUCAUGCUAAAAAUAUUGCACUGGACUGAAGAACAUAGCAAAACGUAGUCGCAGCGUGAUGCUCCAGGGAGAAAACAGUGCAUCGUAUUGCUUGACGUUGAUGUGAUAACAAGUCACCAAUAAAUUUAAAAAGGGUAAUCA